rnacentral:rRNA from 1 species
UAAGCCUGUGAAGGUGGCCUGUGAGGGUUGCUGGAGGUAUCAGAAGUGCGAAUGCUGACAUAAGUAACGAUAAAGCGGGUGAAAAGCCCGCUCGCCGGAAGACCAAGGGUUCCUGUCCAACGUUAAUCGGGGCAGGGUGAGUCGACCCCUAAGGCGAGGCCGAAAGGCGUAGUCGAUGGGAAACGGGUUAAUAUUCCCGUACUUGGUGUUACUGCGAAGGGGGGACGGAGAAGGCUAUGUUGGCCGGGCGACGGUUGUCCCGGUUUAAGCGUGUAGGUGUGUGUUCCAGGUAAAUCCGGUUCACUUUAACACUGAGGCGUGAUGAC